UCUAAACCAGAAAAUACAGAGUUUGCUGGGAGCUUUGUUAAUGUUUCUCAUAAGCAUGCGAAGAAGUCCAAGACAAGAUUGAUAUUGGGGAUUACAGAAUUGUUGGAAGACUUAGAAAGUGAUGGUGAUGAUAGCAUUGUGGUGGCUUUGGUGCCCAGGUCUAAUAGUGUUAGUGAUCCUGUUGUCAUCUCUGGCGUUAAGAUUGAGUUUGUUAAAGAGUGAUGAUUAUCGAGGACAUCUCGUUUUUGCUUUUCCUUCAGGAGAUCGAUGUAGGUCUUUUAGUGUUUGUCUGGGUGCCUUGCUGCUUAAUAUCAUGCACGUGUAAUUCAACUCUGUACUUUUUUAUUUAACAAUCUACAAUUAAAGUA
rnacentral:lncRNA from 1 species